rnacentral:misc_RNA from 1 species
UGAUAGACUCAACGUAAUAUUUUGUUGAAUCCAAGUAUGCUACUGUAUGGUUGUUUUCACAAGCAAGUUCAGACUCUUUGUGGCCGCAGUUUUCAGGAUCGUUUUUGAAUCGAAAAGGGUACCUAAUGUUGUCGAUGUUGCCACAAGAUGUGGUGCAGUUUUUGCUUGUUCUAGCAUAGCAGUCUUGGUAAAUCAGCACCAGAAACAGAAGGGCUGCAUAUCCAACAAAAUGGAUUUUUCGACUACCAAUCAUUCUAUGAGCUGAGAGAGAUCACUUAAGUACAG